CGAGGCCGAGGGAGCCCAGGUCUCCACAUCCGGUGGAAUCCUAGGGCUUGGCGUCAGGGGAGGCAUCUGGCGCCCGGGGCAUGUUCUUGGCAGGAGGAUGGAUGGGCAGCUCUGAUAAACUGGAGCCCGUCUACCAGGCCUACUCUGCCUGGCUUUGCCCAUCGGAAGCAUAGACGUACAUCGACUCUGUCUUGGAUUCUCAGCUAUUUGAAGAUGGAUACUCUGCGAGGUGCCCUCUCCCCGGUGUUCUCUCCGCCGAAAAGUUCCUUCAGUAAUCACUAAGGACACAUUAUGGACACGCUCAAUUUGCCACUGGCUUGGAGGGCGCGGAUCCAGAAAUACCCACAGAUUGAAAUUUCCACAGAAGUCUCCUAAAUGAAAGCAGAGGGCCAACCUUCAAGAAAAUACCAUUUAAUACCAAAUCUUACCAGAAUAAUCAAAUACAUAGCCAUACGCAUAUAGAAAGACUAUUGGGUAAAAAUAGAACAAUUUUAAGCAACUAAACUACGGACAGGUGAGUUUCGUCUUGAGCCAGGGCCACCCCUGAAGCCCUUGUUAAUGGUUGCAAGAUGCCAAGAGCAUUAGAGAAGAAAAUCAAAUGAUCUACACCCACCUAUAUUUUAUAGACGAAGAACCCCAGAUCAAGAGAAGAGAAAUGUCGUGUCAAAAGUUGCGUGGCUGCUUCCUGGUGGAAUUCAGACUACACUCAUUGACGGGCGGAGCACCAGUUUAGGUCCAACAUGUUAUUACCCCAUCCAGAGACUGCUUUCUCAUCUAUUACAUUAGAAUAAAAAUAAGAAAGUUGACGUCAGAAUUGAACGAG
rnacentral:lncRNA from 1 species